UUAUCUGUCUAGGGUAAAUUUUCAUCUAGUUGUGGCAGAAUCACAUGUUAUCGUAAACUCGACUUCAUCAUUGACACUGAAAAACAAAGAACAACUACUGUGUGAACAAUAAAUUAUAAU
rfam:Populus trichocarpa scaffold_5_contig_133, whole genome shotgun sequence.